GGCCAAGUUUUUAAGGGCGCACGGUGGAUGCCUUGGCACCAGGAACCGAUGAAGGACGUGGGAGGCCACGAUAGUCCCCGGGGAGUCGUCAACCAGGCUUUGAUCCGGGGGUUUCCGAAUGGGGAAACCCGGCAGUCGUCAUGGGCUGUCACCCGCUGCUGAACACAUAGGCAGUGUGGAGGGAACGCGGGGAAGUGAAACAUCUCAGUACCCGCAGGAAGAGAAAACAACCGUGAUUCCGGGAGUAGUGGCGAGCGAAACCGGAUGAGGCCAAACCGUAUGCGUGUGAGACCCGGCAGGGGUUGCGUAUACGGGGUUGUGGGAUCUCUCUUUCAUGGUCUGCCGGCCAUGAGACGAGUCAGAAACCGUUGAUGUAGGCGAAGGACAUGCGAAAGGUCCGGCGUAGAGGGUAAGACCCCCGUAGUCGAAACGUCAGCGGCUCGUUUGAGAGACACCCAAGUAGCACGGGGCCCGAGAAAUCCCGUGUGAAUCUGGCGGGACCACCCGCUAAGCCUAAAUAUUCCCUGGUGACCGAUAGCGGAUAGUACCGUGAGGGAAUGGUGAAAAGUACCGCGGGAGCGGAGUGAAAUAGUACCUGAAACCGUGUGCCUACAAGCCGUGGGAGCGUCGGAAUGAAGACUUGUCUUCAUUCUCGUGACUGCGUGCCUUUUGAAGAAUGAGCCUGCGAGUUUGCGGUGUGUUGCGAGGUUAACCCGAGUGGGGAAGCCGUAGCGAAAGCGAGUCCGAAUAGGGCGAUUUUAGUAGCACGCUCAAGACCCGAAGCGGAGUGAUCUAGCCAUGGGCAGGUUGAAGCGGAGGUAAGACUUCGUGGAGGACCGAACCCACCAGGGUUGAAAACCUGGGGGAUGACCUGUGGUUAGGGGUGAAAGGCCAAUCAAACUCCGUGAUAGCUGGUUCUCCCCGAAAUGCAUUUAGGUGCAGCGUCGUGUGUUUCUUGCCGGAGGUAGAGCACUGGAUAGGCGAUGGGCCCUACCGGGUUACUGACCUUAGCCAAACUCCGAAUGCCGGUAAGUGAGAGCGCGGCAGUGAGACUGUGGGGGAUAAGCUCCAUGGUCGAGAGGGAAACAGCCCAGAGCAUCGACUAAGGCCCCUAAGCGUACGCUAAGUGGGAAAGGAUGUGGAGUCGCACAGACAACCAGGAGGUUGGCUUAGAAGCAGCCACCCUUGAAAGAGUGCGUAAUAGCUCACUGGUCUAGUGAUUCCGCGCCGACAAUGUAGCGGGGCUCAAGCGUACCGCCGAAGUCGUGUCAUUGCAGCAAUACGGCCAACGCCGGCUGUGAUGGGUAGGGGAGCGUCGUCUGCCGGGUGAAGCAGCACCGGAAGGUAGUUGUGGACGGUUGACGAGUGAGAAUGCAGGCAUGAGUAGCGAUUCACACGUGAGAAACGUGUGCGCCGAUUGACUAAGGGUUCCUGGGUCAAGCUGAUCUGCCCAGGGUAAGUCGGGACCUAAGGCGAGGCCGACAGGCGUAGUCGAUGGAUAACCGGUUGAUAUUCCGGUACCCGCUGUGAAGCGUCAAACAUCGAGCAUCGUGAUGCUAAGGCCGUGAAGCCGCCCCUGAUCUCUUCGGAGUGAGGGGGAGUGGUGGAGCCGCCGAACCAAGCGGUUAGUAGGUGAGUGAUGGGGUGACGCAGGAAGGUAGUCCAGCCCGGGCGGUGGUUGUCCCGGGGUAAGGGUGUAGCCCGUCAUCUAGGUAAAUCCGGAUGACAUGAGGGUGAGACCUGAUGCCGAGCCGAUUGUGGUGAAGUGGAUGAUCCUAUGCUGUCGAGAAAAGCCUCUAGCGAGUUUCAUGGCGGCCCGUACCCUAAACCGACUCAGGUGGUCAGGUAGAGAAUACCGAGGCGUUCGGGUGAACUAUGGUUAAGGAACUCGGCAAAAUGCCCCCGUAACUUCGGGAGAAGGGGGGCCACAUCCGGUGAUGAGCUUUGCGCUCUGAGCUGGGGGUGGCCGCAGAGACCAGCGAGAAGCGACUGUUUACUAAAAACACAGGUCCGUGCGAAGCCGUAAGGCGAUGUAUACGGACUGACGCCUGCCCGGUGCUGGAACGUUAAGGGGACCGGUUAGUCACUCUUCGGGGUGGCGAAGCUGAGAACUUAAGCGCCAGUAAACGGCGGUGGUAACUAUAACCAUCCUAAGGUAGCGAAAUUCCUUGUCGGGUAAGUUCCGACCUGCACGAAUGGCGUAACGACUUCUCGACUGUCUCAACCAUAGGCCCGGUGAAAUUGCACUACGAGUAAAGAUGCUCGUUUCGCGCAGCAGGACGGAAAGACCCCGGGACCUUUACUACAGUUUGAUAUUGGUGUUCGGUUCGGCUUGUGUAGGAUAGCUGGGAGACUGUGAAGCGCUAACGCCAGUUAGUGUGGAGUCGUCGUUGAAAUACCAGUCUGGUCGUGCUGGAUGUCUAACCUGGGUCCGUGAUCCGGAUCAGGGACAGUGUCUGAUGGGUAGUUUAACUGGGGCGGUUGCCUCCUAAAGAGUAACGGAGGCGCCCAAAGGUUCCCUCAGCCUGGUUGGCAAUCAGGUGUUGAGUGUAAGUGCACAAGGGAGCUUGACUGUGAGACCGACGGGUCGAGCAGGGACGAAAGUCGGGACUAGUGAUCCGGCGGUGGCUUGUGGAAGCGCCGUCGCUCAACGGAUAAAAGGUACCCCGGGGAUAACAGGCUGAUCUUCCCCAAGAGUCCAUAUCGACGGGAUGGUUUGGCACCUCGAUGUCGGCUCGUCGCAUCCUGGGGCUGGAGUCGGUCCCAAGGGUUGGGCUGUUCGCCCAUUAAAGCGGUACGCGAGCUGGGUUUAGAACGUCGUGAGACAGUUCGGUCCCUAUCCGCUGUGCGCGUAGGAGUCUUGAGAAGGGCUGUCCCUAGUACGAGAGGACCGGGACGGACGAACCUCUGGUGUGCCAGUUGUUCUGCCAAGGGCAUGGCUGGUUGGCUACGUUCGGGAGGGAUAACCGCUGAAAGCAUCUAAGCGGGAAGCCUGCUUCGAGAUGAGGACUCCCACCUCCUAGAGAGGGUAAGGCUCCCAGUAGACGACUGGGUUGAUAGGCCGGAUAUGGAAGCACGGUAACGUGUGGAGUUGACCGGUACUAAUAGGCCGAGGGCUUGUCCUC
rnacentral:rRNA from 1 species